rnacentral:misc_RNA from 1 species
GAUGAAGAACGUAGCGAAAUGCGAUAAGUAAUGUGAAUUGCAGAAUUCAGUGACUCAUCGAAUCUUUGAACGCACAUUGCGCCCGCCAGUAUUCUGGCGGGCAUGCCUGUUCGAGCGUCAUUUCAACCAUCAAGCCCCCGGCUUGUGUUGGGGACCUGCGGCUGCCGCAGGCCCUGAAAAGCAGUGGCGGGCUCGCUGUCACACCGAGCGUAGUAGCAUACAUCUCGCUCUGGGCGUGCUGCGGGUUCCGGCCGUUAAACCACCUUCAUAACCCAAGGUUGACCUCGGAUCAGGUAGGAAGACCCGCUGAACUUAAGCAUAUCAAUAAGCGGAGGA